UACGUAGGUGGCAAGCGUUGUCCGGAUUUACUGGGCGUAAAGGGCGUGCAGGCGGUCUGUUAAGUUCUAGGGUGAAAGCUCCCGGCUCAACUGGGAGAGGUCCUUGGAUACUGGCGGACUUGAGGGAGGCAGAGGAAAGUGGAAUUCCCGGUGUAGUGGUGAUAUGCGUAGAUAUCAAGCGGAACACCAGGUGGCGAAGGCGAGUCCCUGGACAACUCCUGACACUGAUGCACGAAAGCUAGGGGAGCAAACAGG
rnacentral:rRNA from 1 species